GCGGCAACAGCUCAAAUUUGAAAUCUGGCGCAAGCCCGAGUUGUAAUUUGUAGAGGAUGCUUCUGGGUAGCGACCGGUCUAAGUUCCUUGGAACAGGACGUCAUAGAGGGUGAGAAUCCCGUAUGUGACCGGCCCGCACCCUUUACGUAGCUCCUUCGACGAGUCGAGUUGUUUGGGAAUGCAGCUCUAAAUGGGAGGUAAAUUUCUUCUAAAGCUAAAUACCGGCCAGAGACCGAUAGCGCACAAGUAGAGUGAUCGAAAGAUGAAAAGUACUUUGGAAAGAGAGUUAAAAAGCACGUGAAAUUGUUGAAAGGGAAGCGCCUGCAACCAGACUUCGCGGCAGUGUUCCGCCGGUCUUCUGACCGGUUUAUUCUCUGUCGCGAGGCCAUCAUCGUCUGGGCCCGCCGGAUAAGACCUUAGGAAUGUAGCUCACCUUCGGGGGAGUGUUAUAGCCUAUGGUGAUGCGGCGAGGCUCGGGCGAGGUCCGCGCUUCGGCAAGGAUGAUGGCGUAAUGGUUGUCGGCGGCCCGUCUUGAAACACGGACCAAGGAGUCUAACAUCUAUGCGAGUGUUCGGGUGUCAAACCCCUACGCGUAAUGAAAGUGAACGGAGGUGGGAACCGCAAGGUGCACCAUCGACCGAUCCUGAUGUCCUCGGAUGGAUUUGAGUAAGAGCAUAGCUGUUGGGACCCGAAAGAUGGUGAACUAUGCCUGAAUAGGGUGAAGCCAGAGGAAACUCUGGUGG
rnacentral:rRNA from 1 species